CGGUCCAGACUCCUACGGGAGGCAGCAGUGGGGAAUAUUGCACAAUGGGGGAAACCCUGAUGCAGCCAUGCCGCGUGUGUGAAGAAGGCCUUAGGGUUGUAAAGCACUUUCAGUUGUGAGGAAAGGUUUACGGUUAAUACCCGUAAGCUGUGACGUUAGCAACAGAAGAAGCACCGGCUAACUCCGUGCCAGCAGCCGCGGUA
rnacentral:rRNA from 1 species